UACGGAGGGUGCGAGCGUUGUCCGGAAUCAUUGGGCGUAAAGCGCGCGUAGGCGGCCAGAUAAGUCCGGUGUGAAAGCCACAGGCUCAACCUGUGAAUGCCGCUGGAAACUGUCUGGCUAGAGUCCGGGAGGGGCGAGUGGAAUUCCUGGUGUAGCGGUGAAAUGCGCAGAUAUCAGGAGGAACACCAAUGGCGAAGGCAGCUCGCUGGAACGGAACUGACGCUGAGGCGCGAAAGCGUGGGGAGCGAACAGG
rnacentral:rRNA from 1 species